rnacentral:rRNA from 1 species
AUUGAACGCUGGCGGCAGGCCUAACACAUGCAAGUCGAACGAGUGGCGGACGGGUGAGUAAUGUCUGGGAAACUGCCUGAUGGAGGGGGAUAACUACUGGAAACGGUAGCUAAUACCGCAUACCAUCAGAUGUGCCCCGAUGGGAUUAGCUAGUUGGUGGGGUAACGACGCACCAAGGCGACGAUCCCUAGCUGGUCUGAGAGGAUGACGAGCCACACGGGAACGGAGACACGGUCCAGACUCCAACGGGAGGCAGCAGAGGGGAAUAUUGGACAAUGGGCGCAAGCCUGAUGCAGCCAGGCGGCGUGUAUGAAGAAGGCCUUCGGGUUGUAAAGUACUUUCAGCGGGGAGGCGUUACCCGCAGAAGAAGCACCGGCUAACUCCGUGCCAGCAGCCGCGGUAAUAC